rnacentral:rRNA from 1 species
AUUGAACGCUGGCGGCAUGCUUUACACAUGCAAGUCGAACGGCAGCGGGUCCUUCGGGAUGCCGGCGAGUGGCGAACGGGUGAGUAAUGCAUCGGAACGUACCGUGUAAUGGGGGAUAACGUAGCGAAAGUUACGCUAAUACCGCAUACGCCCUGAGGGGGAAAGCGGGGGAUCGCAAGACCUCGCGUUAUACGAGCGGCCGAUGUCGGAUUAGCUAGUUGGUGGGGUAAAGGCUCACCAAGGCGACGAUCCGUAGCGGGUCUGAGAGGAUGAUCCGCCACACUGGGACUGAGACACGGCCCAGACUCCUACGGGAGGCAGCAGUGGGGAAUUUUGGACAAUGGGGGCAACCCUGAUCCAGCCAUGCCGCGUGCGGGAAGAAGGCCUCGGUUGUAACCG